rnacentral:rRNA from 1 species
UACAGAGGUCUCAAGCGUUGUUCGGAUUCAUUGGGCGUAAAGGGUGCGUAGGUGGCGGGGCAAGUCUGGUGUGAAAUCUCGGAGCUCAACUCCGAAACUGCACUGGAUACUGCCUUGCUUGAGUACUGGAGAGGAGAUUGGAAUUUACGGUGUAGCAGUGAAAUGCGUAGAUAUCGUAAGGAAGACCAGUGGCGAAGGCGAAUCUCUGGACAGUUACUGACACUGAGGCACGAAGGCCAGGGGAGCAAACGGG